CUGUUUGCAAUGAUCGCUAUCUCUAUAGUAGUUAUUAUAACAAAAUGUUUCAUGCAUGUAGUGAUCAUGAAGUUACUGCAUUUACUUCACUCUGUUUAUUCCUUUUCUUUUUAAUCAUCAUCGUUGAACAGUUUGCAUAGAGAGAGGAAUAUUAGACUUUGCUUUGUGACAAUCUUGCUUCAUCAUGUAGACUUUUACCCAUUCAUUCUACUCACUGGUAUACUCAGAACUUGGUAAAAGAAGAAAAAGAAGAUGGAAGCAAUUCAGUCUUGGGUCUCAGAGCACAAACUGACCAGCAUUGGGGUGCUCUGGGCAUCAGGAAUUGGGGCAUCACAGGCUUAUUCACGUACAAGAUCUCCCCUGAAGCCAAGCCUUAGGCUUAGUCAUGCUAGAAUUUCCCGCAGCUCCUUUUCCCACUCAACCUAUUCUAAGGCCCUUUAUUCUUGGAACCCCUCCUGGGCUGAAACAAAGACCUCGAGGAAAGAGUGUUGGCUUCAGUUAGUCUCUCAAAAAGAAGCCAGGGCUGUGUUUUGAAAACUCUCAAACACAAGGUGUAGCAAUAAAUGGUGCUGAUCAAUCCAAUUUUGGCUUGGAUGAUGCCCCUUGAUCAUAUUAUCAGGUGUGCUUUUCAAAUGAUGUUUCGUGCUUUGGAAACAACAACAGACAAUUGCAGCCAAGUCUUCCUAGCAGUCCAUAUGGUGGAAAUUGUUGGUGUCCUUCUUUUGGAGGAGAUUCGAUAAUAUGAAUUUGUAUUUGGUGUUUGCCAACCAACAACCUAUCAUCACAAGAGUUUUCAAUGAGACAAUGAUCCUUUCUUCAUUUUUCAAUGAGCAAGUGGGAUAGUGCAACUUCUGCCUACUUCUGAUCAAAUACAAGGCAGCAUAUGAAAUUGAAGUAAAGAAGGGGGGUAGAUUCCCUCUAGUCUCUUAAUUCCUGGAAUAGAAACCUUUUACUUGAAUUCUUCUUGUGACAAUGAUCCUUUCUUCAGUGUACACAUGAUUGGCUUCACUAGAUAUCGGCUGCAGAAACUUGGUUCUACACAAUAGCUUGACUGGCUUUCAAUUAAAUGCUAUUUCUGGAAGCUGUUAAAGACGAAAAUGGUUCUCUGGACAUUGAUGAACUAUUGCUGAUUGUAUUUUUUCCUUUGGUACUUGGUUGUAUUGAGAGAUGGUGUUAUUCUUUUUUGCUUUUAAUUUGAAAAAACUCAUAGAUGGUUUACCUUUCAAUUUUGGUUGUUUAAAGUCUUUUAAAUGUACUCUUUGAAGCUGUUUAGAACACCAAAAUUUGAAUAAUAUGACACGAGUCGCUGAGCGG